CAGAUCCAGAAAUGGCAUCUGCUACUCCAGGGAAGAAAACCAGCUUGCUUUCAUAGUCACUGGGAGGCCCGUAAAUCUACUCCAAAAAACAAAAAAAAAAAAAGUUUUUAAGAAAAUAAUAACCAUAAAGAGUUACCGGUACAAUGAAUCAGCUCCAAUGAGUAAAAGGAAAAGGAAUCACUUACAAGAUGCUUAAACCACUGCCUUCCUUGAAGCCCAUCUGCAUCCAAGAACCCUCUUUCAGCAAGCAUCAGCCGAUCAUUCAAUGCUCGCUUUUGCAAC